rnacentral:rRNA from 1 species
UACGUAGGGUGCAAGCGUUGUCCGGAAUUAUUGGGCGUAAAGAGCUCGUAGGCGGUCUGUCGCGUCGGUUGUGAAAACCCGAGGCUCAACCUCGGGCCUGCAGUCGAUACGGGCAAACUGGAGUGUUGCAGGGGAGACUGGAAUUCCUGGUGUAGCGGUGAAAUGCGCAGAUAUCAGGAGGAACACCGGUGGCGAAGGCGGGUCUCUGGGCAACAACUGACGCUGAGGAGCGAAAGCGUGGGGAGCGAACAGG